rnacentral:lncRNA from 1 species
CAGUUUAGGGUUUAAAACUCUAACGCUGAUUGCGUGAAAAGCUCAGUUUAGGGUUUAAACCCCUAAUGCUGGCUAAAAGGAAAAAGUUCAGUUUAGGGUUUAAAACCCUAAUGCUGACUAAAAGGAAAAUUCAGUUUAGGGUUUAAAACCCUAAUGCUGAUUGCAUGAAAAAGCUCAGUUUAGAGUUUAAAACUCUAAUGCUGGCUGAAAGGGGAAAGUUCAGUUUAGGGUUUAAAACCCUAAUGCUGACUAAAAGGAAAAUUCAGUUUAGGGUUUAAAACCCUAAUGAUAAUUGCAUGGAAAAGCUCAUUUUAGAGUUUAAAACUCUAAUGCUGGCUGGAAGGAAAAUUCAGUUUAGGGUUUAAAACCCUAAUGCUGAUUGCAUGGAAAAGCUCAGUUUAGAGUUUAAAACUCUAAUGCUGGCUGAAAGGAAAAUUCAGUUUAGGGUUUAAAACCCUAAUGCUGAUUGCAUGGAAAAGCUCAGUUUAGAGUUUAAAACUCUAAUGCUGGCUGGAAGGGAAAUUCAGUUUAGGGUUUAAAACCCUAAUGCUGAUUGCAUGGAAAAACUCAGUUUAGAGUUUAAAACUCUAAUGCUGGCUGAAAGGAAAAAGUUCAUUUUAGGGUUUAAAACCCCUAAUGCUGAC